rnacentral:rRNA from 1 species
UUCCUACGGGAGGCAGCAGUGGGGAAUUUUGGACAAUGGGGGCAACCCUGAUCCAGCCAUGCCGCGUGCGGGAAGAAGGCCUUCGGGUUGUAAACCGCUUUUGUCAGGGAAGAAACGCUCUGGGCUAACACCCCGGGGUAAUGACGGUACCUGAAGAAUAAGCACCGGCUAACUACGUGCCAGCAGCCGCGGUAAUACGUAGGGUGCAAGCGUUAAUCGGAAUUACUGGGCGUAAAGCGUGCGCAGGCGGUCGUGCAAGACAGAUGUGAAAUCCCCGGGCUUAACCUGGGAACUGCAUUUGUGACUGCACGGCUGGAGUGCGGCAGAGGGGGAUGGAAUUCCGCGUGUAGUAGUGAAAUGCGUAGAUAUGCGGAGGAACACCGAUGGCGAAGGCAAUCCCCUGGGCCUGCACUGACGCUCAUGCACGAAAGCGUGGGGAGCAAACAGGAUUAGAUACCCUGGUAGUCCACGCCCUAAACUAUGGAUACUCGACAUACGCGAUACACUGUGUGUGUCUGAGCGAAAGCAUUAAGUAUCCCACCUGGGAAGUACGACCGCAAGGUUGAAACUCAAAGGAAUUGGCGGGGGUCCUCACAAGCGGUGGAGCAUGUGGUUUAAUUCGAUGAACGCG